CAGAGGUCCCAAGCGUUGUUCGGAUUCACUGGGCGUAAAGGGUGCGUAGGUGGCAAGGUAAGUUUGAUGUGAAAUCUUCGAGCUCAACUCGGAAACUGCAUUGAAUACUAUCUUGCUUGAGGAUUGGAGGGAGGCUGGAAUUCUCGGUGUAGCAGUGAAAUGCGUAGAUAUCGAGAGGAACACCAGUGGCGAAGGCGAGUCUCUAGACAACUCCUGACACUGAGGCACGAAAGCUAGGGAGCAAACAGGAUU
rnacentral:rRNA from 1 species